AUUGAACGCUGGCGGCAGGCUUAACACAUGCAAGUCGAGCGGGGUGAUGGUGCUUGCACUAUCACUUAGCGGCGGACGGGUGAGUAAUGCUUAGGAAUCUGCCUAUUAGUGGGGGACAACAUCUCGAAAGGGAUGCUAAUACCGCAUACGUCCUACGGGAGAAAGCAGGGGAUCACUUGUGACCUUGCGCUAAUAGAUGAGCCUAAGUCGGGUUAGCUAGUUGGUGGGGUAAAGGCCUACCAAGGCGACGAUCUGUAGCGGGUCUGAGAGGAUGAUCCGCCACACUGGGACGGAGACACGGACCAGACUCCUACGGGAGGCAGCAGUGGGGAAUAUUGGACAAUGGGGGGAACCCUGAUCCAGCCAUGCCGCGUGUGUGAAGAAGGCCUUAUGGUUGUAAAGCACUUUAAGCGAGGAGGAGGCUCUUUUGGUUAAUACCCAAGAUGAGUGGACGUUACUCGCAGAAUAAGCACCGGCUAACUCUGUGCCAGCCGCCGCAGUAA
rnacentral:rRNA from 1 species